rnacentral:sRNA from 1 species
AGAGUGCCAUCUACUGCUAGCAAAUCAAACUAGUUUGAGCAAUCACAGGGAAAGAGCUCAUAACAUUUCAUCAAAAAGAAAAUUAUUUGAGUGCACUGAAGAAAAUUGCACAGAAAAAUUCCACAAGAAAAAACAACUGGUCGUUCACAAGUUGACACACUGCCCUCAGUUAGUACUAGCCAAUAAAUGUCACAGAUGUACUUAUGAAGGAUGCAGUAAAACCUUCAGCUUUCCUAAUAAAUUAAAGCAUCAUUUGAAAACACAUGAAGGUUAUCCUUGCAAUGUUCAAGAAUGCAGUCUUGUUUUUCC